rnacentral:rRNA from 1 species
GAUGAACGCUGGCGGUAUGCUUAACACAUGCAAGUCGAACGGACUCUUCGGAGUUAGUGGCGGACGGGUGGGUAACGCGUGAGAAUCUGGCUUUGGGUUCGGGACAACCACUGGAAACGGUGGCUAAUACCGGAUGUGCCGAGAGGUAAAAGAGAAAUUGCCUGAAGAUGAGCUCGCGUCUGAUUAGCUAGUUGGUGAGGUAAAGGCUCACCAAGGCAGCGAUCAGUAGCUGGUCUGAGAGGAUGACCAGCCACACUGGGACUGAGACACGGCCCAGACUCCUACGGGAGGCAGCAGUGGGGAAUUUUCCGCAAUGGGCGAAAGCCUGACGGAGCAAUACCGCGUGAGGGAAGAAGGCUCUUGGGUUGUAAACCUCUUUUCUCAGGGAAGAACAAAAUGACGGUACCUAAGGAAUCAGCAUCGGCUAACUCCGUG